rnacentral:rRNA from 1 species
GUAGGUACAAGGUUUCCGUAGGUGAACCUGCGGAAGGAUCAUUA